rnacentral:lncRNA from 1 species
GGGAGGUGUAUUCAAUUGAGAUUUUUAAAAACUUUUGGAGACUUUUUUAAGUGGGUGACUUUUGUGGACUUUGUGAAACUUUAAGUAAUUUUUAUGGAUUUGGUAAGAAUUAGUAAAAGUUUUUCCUGGAUUUGUGGAGACUUUUACUAAAGACUUUUGAGGAAUUUUUUUUUUUUAAGGAAAUAUGCUUUUAACAGUGUUAAAUGUGAGAUAUCAAGGAAUAUUUAUGAGAAUUCACAACAUUCACUUAAAAACGAAUCUUUGAAAUUAGAGGGAGAGAUAGAGAUCAACUAGUGAAAAUUUACCAUAACCUGAUUUGAAGAAAACUCAUAGUAAAGAUUCAAAGAAAUACCUAAUUGGAAGAGAUAGAGGAAAAACCUAAAAGGAAAUAAGAAUAGCAUACUCUUUUUAGAAAUCUCUCUAUGGAUGAGAGAUUUUGGGAGAAAAAUCCUAUUUAUAUUUUCUAUUAAAAAGUCUCUGAAAGUCCAAUAAAUUUUAAAUUCCCUGAAAGUCCCUCUAAAUUGAAUACCCCAAAACUUGUAGAGAUUUCUAAAAAAUUUCAAUUGAAUACCCCGUAACUUCUGAAGACUUUUUAAAAGUCUAUAAAAGUCUCUAUUGAAUACACCCAAACUUUUAGAGAGUCUCUAAAAGUUUCAAUUGAAUACAUCCAAACUUUUUAAAUCUCUAAAAGUCUUUAAAAGUCUCGAUUAAAUACACCCCCCN